GGGCAGGUAUCUCAGUGUUAGAGGUCCAGUAAUUAAUUUUUCUGGAAGUCGGUGGUUCAACUCCAUCCCUGCUCACCA
rnacentral:tRNA from 1 species